rnacentral:rRNA from 1 species
GACGAACGCUGGCGGCGUGCUUAACACAUGCAAGUCGAACGGAAAGGCCCUGCUUUUGUGGGGUGCUCGAGUGGCGAACGGGUGAGUAACACGUGAGUAACCUGCCCUUGACUUUGGGAUAACUUCAGGAAACUGGGGCUAAUACCGGAUAGGAGCUCCUGCUGCAUGGUGGGGGUUGGAAAGUUUCGGCGGUUGGGGAUGGACUCGCGGCUUAUCAGCUUGUUGGUGGGGUAGCGGCUUACCAAGGCUUUGACGGGUAGCCGGCCUGAGAGGGUGACCGGCCACAUUGGGACUGAGAUACGGCCCAGACUCCUACGGGAGGCAGCAGUGGGGAAUAUGGCACAAGGGGCGGAAGCCUGAUGCAGCAACGCCGCGUGCGGGAUGACGGCCUUCGGGUUGUAAACCGCUUUCGCCUGUGACGAAGCGUGAGUGACGGUAAUGGGGAAAGAAGCACCGGCUAACUACGU